UAAAUGAAGUCUAGGGAACUCCAAGGCUACUGACAGUAGGUGGGAAAGAGACAUAGAUGAGAGCAGAUACUUCCUAUUCUCUAGGACCUCCCUGCUUCAUGAGUGCAAGGGAAUACUAAGAACAACACUAUGCCCAGACAUUUGACAACUUAGGUGAAAAGAAAAUUCCUUGAAAGGCACAACUAUCAAAACAUACUCAAGGAUAAAUAAAUAGCCUGAAUAGCUUUAUAUAUGUGCUUUAAAUACAUUGAAUUAUUCAUUAAAAUCCUUCCAAAAGAGAAAACGUAGGUGGUUAUAUUGGUGAGUUCUACCAAACAUGUAAUGAAGAAACAAUACUAAUUCUACAUAAUCUCUUCUAAUAUAACAGGCGAGGAGAAAAUGCUCCCUCACUCCUUUUACCAGGUCACCAUUACCAUCUUACCAAAACCAGAAAAAGACAUUUCAAAAUGAGAA
rnacentral:lncRNA from 1 species